UACGAGGGGGGCAAGCGUUGUUCGGAAUUAUUGGGCGUAAAGGGCGCGUAGGCGGUGCGGUAAGUCUGAUGUGAAAUCUCCGGGCUCAACUCGGAGUCUGCAUCAGAAACUGCCGUGCUUGAGUGUGGAAGAGGUGAGUGGAAUUCCCGGUGUAGCGGUGAAAUGCGUAGAUAUCAAGAGGAACACCUGAGGUGAAGACGGGUUGCUGGGCCGACACUGACGCUGAGUGCGCGAAAGCCAGGGGAGCAAACGGG
rnacentral:rRNA from 1 species